ACUCGCCGCCGGGACUGCCUUGAAAUAGCAUGUGUAGCUACGUGUGUGUUGAAUCGAGUCCCUUCUACAGCCCGUGAUCUGCCGUGAAAGGGUAAACAUCGCCGCCCAACCCGCAUUAAAAUCUGGCAGAGUGAGUCAAAAGAGGCAGCAAAUCUCACAUUGUCAAAGGCAGUCCAGGACAUCACUGCUCGCUGGCACAAGCAAACUGACCACUGAAAUCAGAAUGAAUGAAUGAUACAGUCAACAAUCCAAAUGACUCUAAAACCAAGCAACACCAAGAGAAUAGAUGGAAAAAUGACGGUGGGGGAAAGAAAUAUACAGGGAAUAAAUAAAUUACGGG